UAAAACCCACUCAUAGCUUGCAGACCACACCAGGGACAGGGAGCCAGGUUUGCCCACAGGCUGAGGUUCGUCCGCCAACCCCAGUCAGAGAAGAACCAGCUCCAGAUGGUUCUCUGGUGUCCCCCACGAGGAGUGUGAGGAUCUUAACCGCCAGCCACGUCUGACUUCUGUUUCCUGAAGCCCGGGUUCGGGGCCCCUGGGUUGUGACCAGGAAUCCAAGCUAUUGCUGUGCCAGGCGCCAGGAAAGACUUCCCAGGCCUCACCCUUCUGAGUGGUGAAUUCGAAGAUCUCUGAGCUCUCACCGGGGUUGAAAUGCCUGAAGUAGGAACAGUUCUUCUCUGCAAAGGAGGAAGACGCUAGUGAGUUGGGAGGAAAGACCAGCAGCAAUUGGAAGCCUGGCUGAGAGAAGUUGGCGUCAUUCUGCUGGGUCCAAAUUUGUUCCCCCGACCCUCAGAACACCCUUUCCGCAGGACAAUGGGGUUGCAUAAGCAGCCGGGAGAUCCUCAGGAAGCAAAGGCCAAAGGAGUGGACAGGACAGGGAGCGUGUGCUGCUGAGCCUCAUCAGGCCCACAGGCUGGGGCCCAGGUCUGUCAUUCAUCCGGGGAACAGGGCACAGGACCAACCCGCCGUUCUCAGCCAAGCAGCGCCUCACCCUGGGGACACUGGGCAAGGCCUGGAGACACUGUGGUGUGGAGAGGAGGCUCUUGGCAUCUGGAAGCCGGGGGAUGCGGCAGGACACCCCACAAUGCAGAGGACAGACCCCCCACAACCUAGAAUUAUCCAGCCCCAAAUGUCAAUAGCCAAGAAACCUUGUAUUCACCCAAAAUGUGGGUUUCUUAUCAGAAUCCAGGCCCACCCAGAUUCACAGGGGUACCCGGGAAGCAGGCUUUUCAAAAGCUUUCCAGGAGAUUCUGAUGCUCAGCCAAGUUGGGAACCCCUGUUCUGGCCUUUAAAAAUUCUAGCAGAGGGUUUUUCCUGAGUGACUGUCAGGAUGAACUUGAACCCAGGCAGGAACGUGAGAGCUGAGUGUGACCCUCAUGCCAUUUCCUUAGACCUUCAGGAACCGUGCUUGUGUGGCAGGCCAGACAGAACCUGUCCUGGCAAGCUACUUGCUCUACCUGAGCAUUGUCUUAAAAGCCACAGAAGGUCUGUGGACACCCAAAAUCUGCAUCUGAUAGGGAGGCAGGACGAGGGGUUCAGCACAAAGAAAUUCUUGCUGAUUUGAACUAUAGUUUCACUUUUAUUUUUCUCUUUUAGUCUCUCCUCUCUCCUAACUAGAUACGGCAUGAAGUAGAGUCUUCUUGCUUACCUUUACUCCAGAUUUAGGGAGCAGUCAAUGAGUUAUUUUGUAUUAGUUUAUAAUAAUUCUUAAAAAAAAAAAAAAACCUCAAUUAGGUUGCUUUUUAUUUGUGUGAGGCCCUUCAUUGAACGUUGCCUCUGUCUUUGGUUUAAAUGACAUCUACUUUGUGAAUUCACGGCUUCACCUCCAGGCUACAUUGGGUUGAUCACAAGGAGACGGAUGCUCUUUCUUCUAGGAAUGUGCCCUAGGAGCUGCCAAAGGCAUGGCUUUACUGCCACCUAAUCCUGUGUCCUCCUACCCAUUUCCUGUCCUCCAAAGUCAGGGUUGCAACCUCUCCUGAGGUUGAGGAAGGAGGCGACACCCGGGGAUGGGGUCUGGUUUAGCAGCGGUAGAUGUUCCUGGCAGUAAACAGCCUUUCUCCACCAGCUUCUAUAUUUAAGUCAUUUUCCUUUUGAACGAGUUACCUGGGGUUCCUAGUGGCCAACCACGAGGUCAGAAUCGGUGCUGCUCCUUUCUCCCUCACAGCGUCGCUGCUAUUUUAGAGCAUAAUGCAAACCUCUUACGUUUUUCAGAUUAUAAGCUAUAGAUUUUCUGGAAUUGCUGCUUCAAAAUGGCUCAUGCUAUGUCACCAGUCUCCCUGGGUCUCCCUCCGGACAAAAGGAACCUUUCUCUUUUUUUUGUGUCUUAAGAGCCCAUUUCAGUUGUCAUUAAAAACGCUCCGAGGAGGAUUGACUGGAUUCAAGCGUUUCACGGUCAGCUGCCUCCCCGGCCACUCUCUCUCCACGCGUGGGGGUGGUGAGCUGAAGGCCACCUCCAGAGUCUGGCUGCACGUAGCUGUUUGGUCCUUCUGGGUUUCUGAGGUGACUUUCCCAGGAAGCAUUCAGGUGCCAACCCCACAGGUAAAUCAGGUCCACUCGGGGUGGACGGGGCCCAUGGCAUGAGUAGGAUGAACAGCAAGCCGUGCAGUCGGGGCUGGGCCUGUCUGCAGGCGCCAGGCUGUGAGCGCUAUGUCUUCCUGGGGUGGUCCAGGCCCACCGCUCUCCUCUCCCUCUUCUCCUCUACUAAAUGCCCUCACAGCGGGUGGAGGGAACAGGGUGCCCAGCGGGUGGGAUCCCCUCUUCUGGAAGCAUCAGCUUCUCUCUGAUGGGUCUGCUCUGUGGGCCCAAGGGUGGAUGGGAUGAUCCACCUCCUGCCCUGGACUUGGCCCAUGAAGAAGGCCAGUGUCCUCUACCCUGGGAGGAGCAUCCCCUGCAGGACUGUGUGGCUGCCUGAGGGGGACCACAGGCCCCUCCAUGGUCCCUGACGGCCCCCAGAGGUGGAGUGGACACACCAGACCCAGGCCUCAGUUGGGACAAGCCAAGUCAGGCAGCUGCCAGUGUCACUCAAGAAGGGCCCAGGGCGCUGUCAGGUGGCAGCCCCAGCUGUGCCCCCUGGUCCGCGUGGGUGGUAUUUGGGAAACUGCACAUCGAGGACACCUUGAAAAGGAGGGACAUCCAAAGAGGCCGUGAGAAGCUCACUGGGUCAAGGUAAGGAGUUGGGGGAAAGGGACAGGGACAGUCUGGCACGGACAGCAGAUUCCGAGCUUUCCUGCCCACCUUUCUCUCCACCCCUACCUCCACUUCCAUCACUCCUGAGCACAGCUCGGGCCUCCACAGACGCAGGUGCUUCUGAUCAAGUGGGCCGCGAGCCCAGCGGCCAAGAGGAGGGUCCGGGAAGAGUUAGGAUUUCUGAGGUUCCUCCCGUCCCCUUUCCUCUCCAUCAAUGGCUUAUGGUGAUCUCAACAUUUCUCUUUCUGUAAGACUGAGCGGUUGAAAGAUGUGAAGUGGAUGAGUGCUCAAAGAAGACAGGGAACUCAGUUGUCAGUCUCCACUGGGGGCUGGCGGGGGCCGGCUAACCACGUAUUCUGGCUUAGGGAGUCACAGGAGGUACAGAACCCCGGCUGGCGUGCCAACCUCAAAGGACCAGAGCCGAGGGCACGUUGACCCCCAGGUGAACUCGAGUAACAGGAUGAUCUGGACGGUCACCGAGGAUGGACUCGGGCAGCGGGUGCCGGUUAAUGGAGAAUUUAAUACACUCAGGAUAAUUUGUGGGUGUGAGGAAAACCAGAGGGAGCUGGUGCCUCCGGGAUGGGGAAGGAAGUUCCUCCCAGUGUCAUUCAUCCUUUUUGUAAGGGACGUUCCCAUCACUGGUCUCUCAGUGCUGUGUCUCCUCUCACCUCCACUGAAGACUGGAGAAAUGCCGGGACCCGAGUCCCCGAGUUUCAGAGCCCUGCUCUUUGACAGAUAAAGUCCAGUUACGGUCUCAGCCUCCGGCCAGGGCUCAUGUGGAUGGUGAAGGGAGCCCCUGAGAUUCCUCAGGGUCAGUGCAUGUGCUUUCACGAGGCCCCAGUAUCUGCACUGAGUCUAGGGGAGAAGAUGGGCCAUGAGGGUCCUGGGGCCCUGGAGUAGCUGCCGUCUUUCCCCAAGGAAACAGAGCCUGGAAGAAGCAGGAGCAGGGGAUGGUGUCUCUGGGGACUGACCUGGGCCUCCAGACACAUCAUCUCUUCUGACCACUGGGGAGGCCUCUGCUGUCAUUAUGAAGACAUCUGAAUUGACCUCAGAUGUUGAUCUAGUACACAGUACUCCUUCUGAGGCUCUUUAGGGGCAGUGGAAAAAUCAGACAGUUCCUGUACUCAGAGCCUCGAGCAUCUAUGGCUGAAUGGGGCCUGGAGAAAUCUCCUUCUUGUACUAGACUAGCUGCCCCCAAACCAUGGUAUGUCAUAAGCUGAACGCCUCAUGGUCACUUGGGCCAGCAGCAUUUAGUGGAGGAUGUGGGGGCGGGUGUGUCUGGAGAGCAAGGAGGCUCUGGAUUCAAGAAGUGAAGGUUGAACUUCAGCCUGUCAGAGGGUUAGGCUGGGAAGGGCAUGCUCAGCCUCAGUGCUUCUCCCUGUAGAAUGAAAAACACCUAUAGGAUGAGCACCUGCCUGCUGGCUUGUUGAACUUAGUAUAACGUCGUGAUUAAGAAGGUAAAGGUUAGGGACAGGGCCUGGGUGUGAAUACAAGAUGCUGCACUCAGUAACUGAGUGAACUUGCUCAACUAGGUGUGCCUCAUAUUCUGUAAGAUGAAAUGACAAUCAUGUGGUGGAUCUCAUGGAGGUUUCUGGGAGAAAUCAGAUGAGCUAAUAUAAGUAUGCCAGUCCAUUGCUUUCCGGUCUCUAUCUGCUUUUGAGGAAAAUCAACUGUCUAUCUUAUUAAGGAUCCCUUGGGUGUGAUGUGUUGUCUCUGUUUUCAAGAUUCUGUCUUUAUCUUUUUUUUUUUUUAAGUAUUUUUUUUAGUUGUAGAUGAACACAAUACCUCUAUCUAUCUAUCUAUCUAUCUAUCUAUCUAUCUAUCUAUCUAUCUAUCUAUUUAUGUGGUGAUGAGGAUUGAAUCCAGGGCCUCACACAUGCUAGGCAAGCGCUCUACCACUGAGCCACAACCCCAGCCCCUUUGUCUUUAUCUUUCAAAAGCUUGAUUAUGGACUGACUAGGUAUAGAUCUAUUUGAGUUUACAUUUCUCAGGCUUCAUGGAGCUAUAUGGAUUUAUAAAAUAAUAUUUCAUUCAAUCUGGGGAGUGCUAGCCAUUAUUUUUUCGUAAUCAUUUCUGUUCCAUUCCCUUUCUCUCUCUUCCUUUCCUUCUGGAACUUUCAGAAUGCACAUGUUGGUAUCUUAGAUGGUGUUCCACGGCUCGCUGAGGCUCUAUUCAUUAUGCUUCAUUCUUUUUUUUUUCUCUUUGUUCCUUACAUUUGCUAAUCUUGGUUGAUCCAUUUUUAAGUUCACUAUUUUUUUUUUCAUUUCUCUUCUCAGAUCUCUUACUGAUUCUCUAUAAUCAAUUUUUUAAGAUUUCAGUUGUUACAUUUUUUAACUCCAGAAUUUCUGUUUGGACCUUUGAAAAUAAUAUUUGUCUCUUUACUGAUAUUCUCUAUUUCAUGAGACACCAUUCUCAUUUUUAGUUUUUUAGAUAUGGAGUCUUUUAAUUCUUUCAAUGCAUUUAAAUAGCUGAUUUGAAGUCUUUGUCCAGUAAGUCCAAUAUCUGGGCUUCCUUAGAGAUCUGUUUACUCAUUCCUGCUCCCUGACCCCACAAACAGUCCAUAACAUUUUAGUUACUUGUGUGGCUUGUGCUUUUUUUGGUAUGAAGAAUUGAAACUAGAAGUACUUAACCUCUGAGGCACAUCCACAACCCUUCAAUUUUUUUUCUUUCUUUCUUUUUUUUUUUGAGACAGGGUCUAGAUAAGUUGCCUAGGGCCUUGCUAAGUUGCCGAGGCUGGCUUUGAACUUGCGAUGCUCUUCCUCAGCCUCCUGAGCUGCUGUGAUUAUAGGUAUGUGCCACUGCAUCCACUAUGUCUUGUGUUUUUUAAGUAAUAUGAUGAGGCAACACUGGAAAUCAGAUUCUUGUUCUUGAGGGUUUGCUUCUGUUGUUGUUUGUUGUUGCUUAUAUAGUGACUGCUCUGAACUAAUUUUGUGAAGUAUGUAUUCUUAGUCAUGUGUGACUACUGAAAUCUCUAUUCCAUUAGCUUAGUAGCUGGUCAAUAGAGAUUUCCUAAAAUGCUUAGAACAAAUGCGUCACCCUCUCUACUGAGGGGCUCUGCACAUUUGAGACAUGGCUUAAACACUUAGAGAAGCAGCCUACAUCUCUGCUUUGGCCUUCACUUUGUAUUUGUACAGAACCUCAAGAUAAGGCAGAGGUGAGAAUUCAGGGCCUUUGCAGAUCUUUCCUGAGCAUACACACAGCACUGUACAUGGCCUUCUAGAUUAUUAGGACUAUGCUUCAGUUCUUCAAAGCUACCUCUGAACAUCUCAUUCUCCAGUUCUUUGCAUAGCCUACCACAUGGCCCAACUGUUAUCUGCAGCUCAGGCAGCCAUGAUAUUAACCUAUCAUCUCUAAUUGUUUUCAACAAAUGCCCUUGAGAAAUCGACUAUUUGCACUGGAUGAGCUCAGAGUUGGGCCACAUAAUGAUAGCUUUGCAAGUAAAGACUUCUAGGGAAUGACCACAUAGGUCAGAUAAUGACAGUUAUCUAGAAAAAGGGUUUUGAAAGAGAUUCAAUCCUUUCUUGUCCCCUGUAAGUGGCUACCAGGCUGCUGAUUUUCACUGUGAUGGUGAGAUGUUGAUUUUCAAAGCUGCAACAAAGAUGGGGGAAGAGGAAUGGGAAAUAUAUUUUAAAUAACUGAUUGUUGUUCAGUAAGUCCAAUAUCUGGGCUUUCUUAGGAUCUAUGGCUGUAUUCUGUCCCCUCUCCCAUAAACAGGCAAUACUAUUUAAAUUCCUUGUUAAAGUAAAAAUACCACAAAACUUACUCUUCAUCCUAAGAGUUACCCAUUUUCUUGAACAAGCAAUUCUAGAUUGCUACAAGAUUUGGUAGAUUGCCACAAUUCUGAAAACAUUGAUUUGACCUUUUUUUUUUUUUUUUAAAAAAAUUGUUUUGUCUUUCUUUUAUGGAGAAGAAGAUUUGAGGGGAGGUGGUUCUUAUUCUGUCAUUUUUUCCCCUGAUGUCACCCCAAAUUAAUAUACAUAAAGCACCUACAACUAUGUUUGGCACAUAGUGCUACAUUUGUGUGGCAUUAUUGUAAUUAUUAUUGAUAAUAAAAGAACAUAUGCAUACAACCCCCACCUAGAAAAGAGUGGUUCCAGAGCAUAGGAAGGACAGAUGGAAAAAUAAAGGAAUUUCCAUUUGCAGAAAAAAACAGGAAAAUGGCAGGAACAUGCUUUGGAAGAUUAUUGGGGGGAGGUAGUGCUCGUUGUCACAAAUGUGGGAAACAUGAUUCAUGGCAAAGAGAUGGACCGCUCAGGCUCCAGGCCAAGCGAUGCCUGCUGGUCCCCUGAGGCUGGUCCUCUAGCCAGUCUGUCUCUGCCCUGAAGGGACCUUGCUCACUCGUUUGCUCAUCUGCUCUGACUUUAAAAGGCAGCUGCCUCCAAGGACAGGUGGACAGGACCACAAUGUGUGUCCCCAUGUGUGGUCCCUGGAGAAGCUGCCUCACCCUGCCCUGCCCUGUCCCGGGAGCUGGCUAGAUGAUGCAUCUGUUUACCAGUGUGCAGCAGUGGCCAAGGGACGUGGGCGUCUGGGCUAUGUGAUACCCUUCAAGCACAUGCCCACGCCUAUCAAAGCCCUUAGCCCUGGGACUCAGCGUUUCCAAGACAGCUGGGUAUUUACGAGUCUCUGGGUGCUCAGCAGAGAUGAGCAAGGCUGGGGCUCCCUCAAGCAAGCAGAGGGGAAGAAGAAGAAGGCCAGGAGUGGGAGGUGGGGUUUGGGCUCUUUGCCCCACACCCAGUCUGCAAGAUCAUUGGGGUCUCAGCGCCAAUUCCCUUGAAGCGGGGGUUUCAGGAAUACGUGGUCAGGUAAUAGAAUAAUUCUGAGCAUCAGGAGGAAUGUCACACAUACCCUGGUCCACUGCCACCUUGGAGACACAUUCAUAAGUGUGUCUCCAAGUGGAUCUUAUGUUGCUGAGCCCAAGUCCUGUAUUUUAUAGAGGAGGAACCAGAGGCUGAGAAGGACCUCAUCCUCCCUGAAUAGUCAUCCUGGAGGUGGUGAGCAGUGGUGGCUACAGCCCAAGCCCCCUUCCCCGUGCAGUACUUUUUCCUCGAACAAGUGCUCUGAUUACUAUGAAUCCUGAGAACUCCAUGUUUGCGGAAUCUCUAUUCUGCAGAGAGAUCAGUUCACGUGAAUACCACAUAUUCCCUACCCCACUGCCCCGCCCUCGGCCCCAGUACCGGGAUUGAAUCUGUAUCAGGGGUUCUUUACUACAGAGCUACAUCCCCUGCCCUUUUGACCUUUUAGUUUGAGACAAGGUCUUGCUAAGUUGCUGAGGCUGGCCCUAAACUUGUGAUCCUCUUUGCCUCACCUACUGAAGUCCGAGUUGCAGGGUUUAGAGGCGUACACCACUCUACCUGCCUCUGAAUACCCGGGUUCUGACAAGCAGGUGGCUCAUGCCCGACCACAUCCUGUUUCAGAGACCUGCACCCUGGCUCUGCUCUCAGAAGGGCCUGUGCUUGGUUUCAUGCUCAACUUGAAAUUCUCCAUAAUUAGGAAUAAGACACUCGGUGUUUUCAUUCUGCACGGACUCCCACAAGUUCUGUAGCUAUCCUAUCUACACUCCUGCCUGGAAGCCAAGCAAUGAACCCACCAGCCCCCUGGUCCCUCCAGCCUGAGAACAUAGAGCCACCUGCCUGUCACGGAAAAGAGAGAAUGGAGCUGGGACACCAAUGGGUGACCGCUGCUGGGGUCAGAAGCCCCCGGGCUGGUAGACCUGUUCAGGGCCUCUUGUCCCACCUGGCCUGCCGUCUGCUCUGGAUGAAAAUCCCCAAGCCUCAGCCAGACAGAAGGAGCUGGAGACAAAUACCCUCAUUUGUCAACCUGGCGGCAGCCACCGGUACAGGUGCCACAGGCAGAUCCAGCCUUCUUAGGAAGGGCCUGGUGGCUGCUCCCUGACCCCAGGCAGAGAAACCCCCUUCCUUCCCAUGGGCGACCCAUCAGGGGAAUGGGAAGGGCCGGAGGGGAGAGCGGGUUGGAGAGUGGGUACGUUACCCCCAGGCAGGGUGAUGGCGCCACAGUUCUUGUCCUCAAUGUCGUCCACAGGAACGCGCGUGGUGCAAAUCCUCCAGAGGCCGAAGUGGGCUGCCUCGCAGGUGGCAUUGUUGUGCUCCAUGUGGGGGCUCAGCACGGCCCAGUAGUCCGUCACCACGGCCACCAUGGCCAGCACAAUGCCCACCAGGAUGCAAAAGAGGGCCACACGAACCUUCAGGGCUUGGGUCUGGGACAUGGUGUUCACUAAGGUGUGGGUGCCUGGGGCAGGGGGCAGCAGUAUCUCCCAGGGUAUGUGGCUGCCCCGCUAGCGUGGCGGCAGUGGUUUUCAGGCCAGGGGUGGGAGCUAACUUUAGUGUGCCUGACUGAGCCAGAGUGGGCUGGCCUUGGGGCUGAGGGACGCUGGACAGGGCCGAGCAGCUGCCCAGACGUGUCAGGGGCCUGAGGAAGGCUUCUAUUAAUGCUGCUCCCUGGGUGUGUCACCGGGGAUGGCUUCUGCUCGGAUUUCAGGGCCCUCUUCCCCUCUGGAAGUCAGAAAUACCCUGGGGCGGGGCAAGGAGAGAAGGCUCUAGAUGGUGACUUGAGACCUCCGUGGAGUGGAGCGGGGAAGGGGCACAAGGCAGCGGCCCAGGGAAGGCGACAGCCCACCAGGUGCGUGAAAUCUACCAGCUCUGGGCUGCAAGGCACAGCCUGGCAAGGGCAGGGCCCUGGGAGACCCAGGUGGCAUGGCUUCCUGGUCUCACACUGCAGGACAGACACCAAGGCAGGGAGAGCGGGCCCUCAUGCUGGGGAUCUGGGGAACCCAGGGAUCUGCCUAGGGUCAUCUCAGAGGCCACCUCCCAGGCAAGCACUUCAGCCACAGGCCCACGUAGUCCCCCAUGCUGCAGGAAGAUUCGGCUGGCUCCCGGGCCUGGCCUUCCCCACUAUGGUCACAUUAAUUCCUUUUCAACCCUCUUCUCCACUCCUGGGUCCAGAAGAAGAGCUCUGUUUGGGGUAAGUCUUCAACAGUUUUCUGAAGCUUGCAAACUGCCCUCCGGAGUGAAGAGAGACCCCACCUAAGACACAGAGCCCGGCUGCAUGGGGCUGCAGCUGUGUGCCAGGGCACUGUCCUUAGUUUUGCCUUUUGUAAGUGGAAAAUAAAGAUGAUCCAUUUAUACCUUCAUGUACAAAGAAAGCGUUUAUGUAAAAAAAAAAAAGAAGGGCAAUAGGUUGAUUUGUGGCCAGUGGGUGCACAUUCACAGCAGAGAACAGAAGAGGAUUAGAGACCCUUGUCCAAGGGUUCUGCCCCGCCUCUUCUCCCUGGGCUGGCCCUCAGCUCCUACGUGCCUCCUGGGUUCUGCUCUCUCUUCUGUUUCUGCUCAGGCCUUGUUGGGUGUAUCGAAGAGGCUGAUGCAUGACCAGGAAGAGAGCCUGAGUUGGGCAGGGCCUCAAACUUCAGAAUCCUGGCCUCAGUUUGACAGGCUCACAGAAAGACUCUCCUAGUGCGUGGAGAGACAUUCUUGGAGUCGCAGAACGUUAACACUAACGGGUGCUUCCUCUCUACCAGGCACUCUGCUGAGGCUUCUCAUGUCGUCACAGUUGAUCUUCCCACUAAUCCACAGGGUGAGAACAACGAUCGCUCCCAUUUUUUAGAUAAGGACACUGGCUCAGAGACAUGAAGUAACUUGUCCCAAUUCACACAGCCAGGAAAUGGGCUAGUCCCCCACAGUCGCCUGAAUGCCCAGUGACCCACUGACACCUGCCACGCCCUGCUCAGCUCAGAGGGGCCCUCUGGCUCCACGCAGGUGGCUCCUCUCCAUGGAGAACUCUCAGAAACUGGGCUCUCGGGAUGCUGGUCACCUGGGCUUACCCACUGCACGCCAUGCACCCCAGGACAGCAGCAGCUGGGGAGCCAGACGUUUCCGGUGUAUAAAGACAGAAGAUGGAGAAAGAGGCUGUUUAAUGAUAGCGCCGUGAGUAAGCGUGGGGUCAUUUGAAGAAAUGCAAAUGCCUUUCCCGGUAAGGAGGGCAGCUGGGGCUGUCUUGUGCUGCCUCCGGAGGUCUUGGAAAAUGCACGGCUCUUGGUGCUCACUUGACGUCGGCUGCCAUGACUUCAUGGUCUCAUCAAAGAAGCCCAGCCUCUGCGAGAGGGCAGCGUGGAGCAACUUGUGCCACGCUUUGCCUCGUUGGGGGUGGGGGGGGGAGCGCGGGUGCGUGCCAAGUCCUCGGCCCAGCGUGAGUGGAAGCAUUAAAGAUUGAUGGCCUCUUCCUUUGAAGUUGUCUUUGUGAGCCUUGCACCACUUGGCCCGCAGCUCUGGCGAUGGCAGGCCGGCCUCCUUCGCCUCCCUGUUCACUAGAUCGCUUCGAGCAGACCUUUUCUGUCCCAGGGGCCACUGUCAAGCUGUCUGUCUGCCCUCCCCGACACCCCAAGCCUUG